AUGAGCUGCACCACCUCGUCCAUAUCGGGGCGCUUAUCAGGAUUUCCAUCCCAGCAUUUACGCAUAAUGUUCGCAAAUGCACUUGGACAGCAACGGGGUAUGUCUGGCCGCAAAUUCUGUGUCUGGGUAUGGCAUGUCACAGCAAUAGAUUUCCCACAAGCAAAUGCCAAAACUGUAAACAUCACAUUUCCUGUUGUAUGGUUUACCAUCAAGAACCUGUAA
rnacentral:rRNA from 1 species